rnacentral:rRNA from 1 species
CGAAUACAAGAUGCUAUGGCGUUGGAGCAAGGUAUAUCAUACUUCCAAGAAAAGCUCGCACUGUCAUAAAUAAAUAAUGCCUGUACCAUAACCGACACAGGUGGGUAGGUAGAGUAUACUAAGGGGCGCGAGAUAACUCUCUCUAAGGAACUCGGCAAAAUAACUUCGUAACUUCGGGAGAAGAAGUACCUUAUUUAUAAGGUUGCAAUAACAAGAUCCAAGCAACUGUUUACCAAAAACACAGGUCUCCGCUAAGUCGUAAGACGAUGUAUGGGGGCUGACGCCUGCCCAGUGCCAGAAGGUUAAAGAAGCUGGUUAGCAGUAGCGAAGCUGGUGACUGAAGCCCUGGUGAACGGCGGCCGUAACAAUAACGGUCCUAAGGUAGCGAAAUUCCUUGUCGGGUAAGUUCCGACCCGCACGAAAGGCGUAAUGAUUUGGAUACUGUCUCGGAGAGGGACUCGGUGAAAUAGACUUGCCUGUGAAGAUGCGGACUACCUGCACCUGGACAGAAUGACCCUAUGAAGCUUUACUGUAACUUGAAAUUGAAAUUGGACUUUAUUUGCGCAGUAUAGGUGGGAGGCAUUGAAAGAUUCUUGUGGGAAUUCCGGAGCCAUCAGUGAGAUACCACUCCUAUAAUGUUAGAUUUCUAACUUUUACCAUUAUCUGGUGAAAGAACAGUUUCAGAUGGGCAGUUUGACUGGGGCGGUCGCCUCCCAAAUGGUAACGGAGGCGCACAAAGGUUUCCUCUGAACGGGUAGAAAUCGUAUCUAGAGUGUAAAGGCAAAAGGAAGCUUGACUGUGAGACCUACAAGUCGAGCAGGGACGAAAGUCGGUCUUAGUGAUCUGACGGUGCUGAGUGGAAAGGCCGUCACUCAACGGAUAAAAGUUACUCUAAGGAUAACAGGCUGAUCUCCCCCAAGAGUUCACAUCGACGGGGAGGUUUGGCACCUCGAUGUCGGCUCAUCGCAUCCUGGGGCGGUAGUACGUCCCAAGGGUUGGGCUGUUCGCCCAUGAAAGCGGUACGCGAGCUGGGUUCAGAACGUCGUGAGACAGUUCGGUCCAUAUCCGGUGUAGGCGUUAGAAUAUUGAGAGGAGCCUUCUUUAGUACGAGAGGACCGAGAAGGACAUACCUCUGGUGUACCAGUUAUCGUGCCAACGGUAAACGCUGGGUAGCUAUGUAUGGAGUGGAUAACCGCUGAAAGCAUCUAAGUGGGAAGCCCACCUUAAGAUGAG